GUGGGGAAUAUUGCGCAAUGGCCGCAAGGCUGACGCAGCGACGCCGCGUGUGGGAUGAAGGCCUUCGGGUUGUAAACCACUGUUGGGGGGGACGAAUGCCCCGCAAGGGGAUUGACGGUACCUCCAGAGGAAGCACCGGCUAACUCCGUGCCAGCAGCCGCGGUAAUACGGAGGGUGCAAGCGUUGUCCGGAAUCACUGGGCGUAAAGGGCGCGUAGGCGGCUCGAUAAGUCGGUUGUGAAAUCCCGGGGCUCAACUCCGGGGCUGCAUCCGAGACUGUCAGGCUCGAGCAUGGUAGAGGCGAGUGGAAUUCCCGGUGUAGCGGUGGAAUGCGUAGAGAUCGGGAAGAACACCAGUGGCGAAGGCGGCUCGCUGGGCCAAUGCUGACGCUGAGGCGCGAAAGCGUGGGGAGCAAACAGGAUUAGAUACCCGGGUAGUCC
rnacentral:rRNA from 1 species